rnacentral:rRNA from 1 species
AUUGAACGCUGGCGACAUGCUUUACACAUGCAAGUCGAACGGCAGCACGAAAGAGCUUGCUCUUUUGGUGGCGAGUGGCGAACGGGUGAGUAAUGCAUCGGAACGUACCGAGUAAUGGGGGAUAACAGUCCGAAAGGAUAGCUAAUACCGCAUACGCUUUGAGAAGGAAAGUGGGGUCUCUUCGGACCUCACGUUAUUCGAGCGGCCGAUGUCUGAUUAGCUAGUUGGUGGGGUUAAGGCCUACCAAGGCGACGAUCAGUAGCGGGUCUGAGAGGAUGAUCGGCCACACUGGGACUGAGACACGGCCAAGACUCCUACGGGAGGCAGCAGUGGGGAAUUUUGGGCAAUGGGCGCAAGCAUGAUCCAGCCAUGCCGCGUGUGUGAAGAAGGCGUUCGGGUUGUAAAGGACUUUUGUUAGGGAAGAAAAGGAUAGUGUUGAUACCAUGAUCUGGUGACGGUACCUAAAGAAUAAGCACCGGCUAACUACGUG